AUUGAACGCUGGCGGCAAGCCUAACACAUGCAAGUCGAGCGGAGCGGCGGACGGGUGAGUAAUGACUAGGAAUCGGCCUGGUAGUGGGGGAUCACUUCCGGUAACGUGCGCUAAUACCGCAUAAUAGCAGAUCAGCCUAGGUCGGCUUGGCUAGUUGGUGGGGUAACGGCCUACCAAGGAGACGCUCCGUAACUGGUCUGAGAGGAUGAUCAGUCACCAUGGAACUGAGACACGGUCCAGAAUCCUACGGGAGGCAGCAGUGGUGAAUAUUGGACAAUGGGCGAAAGCCUGAUCCAGCCAUGCCGCGUGAGUGAAGAAGGUCUUCGGAUUGUAAAGCACUUUAAGUUGGGAGGCGUUACCAACAGAGUAAGCACCGGCUAACGGCGUGCCAGCAGCCGCGGUAAUUC
rnacentral:rRNA from 1 species